rnacentral:rRNA from 1 species
AUUGAACGCUGGCGGCAUGCUUUACACAUGCAAGUCGAACGGUAACAGGUCUUCGGAUGCUGACGAGUGGCGAACGGGUGAGUAAUGCAUCGGAACGUGCCCAGUCGUGGGGGAUAAACGCAGCGAAAGCUGUGCUAAUACCGCAUACGAUCUAUGGAUGAAAGCGGGGGAUCGCAAGACCUCGCGCGAUUUGGAGCGGCCGAUGUCAGAUUAGCUAGUUGGUGGGGUAAAAGGCCCACCAAGGCGACGAUCUGUAGCUGGUCUGAGAGGACGACCAGCCACACUGGGACUGAGACACGGCCCAGACUCCUACGGGAGGCAGCAGUGGGGAAUUUUGGACAAUGGGCGCAAGCCUGAUCCAGCAAUGCCGCGUGCAGGAAGAAGGG